ACCACGAGACAGGCCCAGGCAUGAGACGGAGCUUAUGAUCUGGAGGAGACAGACAGGCAAUGAACACACAAUAAGCAAAUGAGCAGCAAAUCAACAAACAGGCUGAUCGUUUCAGAAAAUGAAUGAGGGAGAGCUGGACAGCUGGAGGAGAUGGCAGUGACAGUCAGACUCAGGUGGAAAUGAAAAAACUAAAGAACAGUACUCUGCAAAUGAUCUAGUGUGAUGAUAAGAGAAAGUGAAGAACUUUUCAAAACUCUAUGGGAAGCAGCAGAG
rnacentral:lncRNA from 1 species